UACGUAGGGGGCAAGCGUUGUCCGGAAUCAUUGGGCGUAAAGCGCUCGCAGGUGGUCCGAUGCGUCGUGCGUGAAAGACCCUGGCUCAACUGGGGAGUGUCGUGCGAUACGGUCGGACUGGAGGCCAGUAGGGGGAUGCGGAAUUCCGGGUGUAGUGGUGGAAUGCGUAGAGAUCCGGAGGAACACCAGCGGCGAAGGCGGCAUCCUGGACUGGUCCUGACACUCAGGAGCGAAAGCGUGGGGAGCGAUCCGG
rnacentral:rRNA from 1 species